AUUGAACGCUGGCGGCAUGCUUUACACAUGCAAGUCGAACGGUAACAGGCCGCAAGGUGCUGACGAGUGGCGAACGGGUGAGUAAUGCAUCGGAACGUGCCCAGUCGUGGGGGAUAACUACUCGAAAGAGUAGCUAAUACCGCAUACGAUCUAUGGAUGAAAGCGGGGGACCGUAAGGCCUCGCGCGAUUGGAGCGGCCGAUGUCAGAUUAGGUAGUUGGUGGGGUAAAGGCUCACCAAGCCAACGAUCUGUAGCUGGUCUGAGAGGACAACCAGCCACACUGGGACUGAGACACGGCCCAGACUCCUACGGGAGGCAGCAGUGGGGAAUUUUGGGCAAUGGGCGCAAGCCCGAUCCAGCAAUGCCGCGUGCAGGAAGAAGGCCUUCGGGUUGUAAACUGCUUUUGUACGGAACGAAACGGCUCUGGUUAAUACCCGGGGCUAAUGACGGUACCGGAAGAAUAAGCACCGGCUAACUACGUG
rnacentral:rRNA from 1 species